AUCACCGAUUCCCGCACCGAAGUUAAGCAAUGUCGAACCUGUUCAGUACCUAGAUGGGUGACCGCUUGGGAAUACCAGGUGCUGUGA